rnacentral:rRNA from 1 species
ACGCUGGCGGCGUGCCUAAUACAUGCAAGUCGAGCGGACAGAAGGGAGCUUGCUCCCGGAUGUUAGCGGCGGACGGGUGAGUAACACGUGGGUAACCUGCCUGUAAGACUGGGAUAACUCCGGGAAACCGGAGCUAAUACCGGAUAGUUCCUUGAACCGCAUGGUUCAAGGAUGAAAGACGGUUUCGGCUGUCACUUACAGAUGGACCCGCGGCGCAUUAGCUAGUUGGUGAGGUAACGGCUCACCAAGGCGACGAUGCGUAGCCGACCUGAGAGGGUGAUCGGCCACACUGGGACUGAGACACGGCCCAGACUCCUACGGGAGGCAGCAGUAGGGAAUCUUCCGCAAUGGACGAAAGUCUGACGGAGCAACGCCGCGUGAGUGAUGAAGGUUUUCGGAUCGUAAAGCUCUGUUGUUAGGGAAGAACAAGUGCAAGAGUAACUGCUUGCACCU